GAUGAACGCUGGCGGCGUGCCUAAUACAUGCAAGUCGAGCGAACAGACGAGGAGCUUGCUCCUCUGACGUUAGCGGCGGACGGGUGAGUAACACGUGGAUAACCUACCUAUAAGACUGGGAUAACUUCGGGAAACCGGAGCUAAUACCGGAUAACAUGUUGAACCGCAUGGUUCAACAGUGAAAGACGGUCUUGCUGUCACUUAUAGCUGGAUCCGCGCCGCUUUAGCUAGUUGGUAAGGUAACGGCCUACGAAGGCGAGUAUGCGUAGCCGACGGGAGAGGGGGAUCGCCGACAUUGGAGCGGGACCAGGGUCCAUGGGCCUACGGGAGGCAGCAGUAGGGAAUCGGCGGCAGAAGGCGAAAGCCUGACGGAGCAACGCGGCGUGAGUGAAGAAGGUCUUCGGAGCGUAAAACUCUGUUAUGAGUUAAGAACAAAUUUGUAAGGAACUAUGCACGUCGUGACGGUACCUAAUCAGAAAGCCACGGCUAACUACGUG
rnacentral:rRNA from 1 species